UACGAAGGGGGCGAGCGUUGUUCGGAUUUACUGGGCGUAAAGCGCGCGUAGGCGGCUAAUUAAGUCGGGUGUGAAAGCCCCGGGCUCAACCUGGGAAUUGCAUCCGAUACUGAUUGGCUAGAGUAUGAGAGAGGGAGGUAGAAUUCCACGUGUAGCGGUGAAAUGCGUAGAUAUCGGGAGGAACACCUGUGGCGAAAAGCGGCUCACUGGACCACAACUGACGC
rnacentral:rRNA from 1 species